rnacentral:rRNA from 1 species
GAGACAGCAGCCGCCGCGGGAAUACGAAGGGUGCAAGCGUUAAUCGGAAUUACUGGGCGUAAAGCGUGCGUAGGCGGUGAGUUAAGUCUGCUGUGAAAUCCCCGGGCUCAACCUGGGAAUGGCAGUGGAUACUGGCUCGCUAGAGUGUGUCAGAGGAUGGUGGAAUUCCCGGUGUAGCGGUGAAAUGCGUAGAGAUCGGGAGGAACAUCAGUGGCGAAGGCGGCCAUCUGGGACAACACUGACGCUGAGGCACGAAAGCGUGGGGAGCAAACAGGAUUAGAUACCCCUGUAGUCCCUGUCUCUUAUAC